GUAGGGUCUACCAUGCAGUCGACGAUGAAGCGGUGCUUGCACCGUGGAUUAGUGGCGAACGGGUGAGUAACACGUGAGUAACCUGCCCCUUUCUCUGGGAUAAGCGCUGGAAACGGCGUCUAAUACUGGAUAUUCAGGCCUUGCCGCAUGGUGGGGUUUGGAAAGAUUUUUUGGUGAGGGAUGGGCUCGCGGCCUAUCAGUUUGUUGGUGGGGUGAUGGCCUACCAAGACGACGACGGGUAGCCGGCCUGAGAGGGUGACCGGCCACACUGGGACUGAGACACGGCCCAGACUCCUACGGGAGGCAGCAGUGGGGAAUAUUGCACAAUGGGCGAAAGCCUGAUGCAGCGACGCCGCGUGAGGGAUGACUGCCUUCGGGUUGUAAACCUCUUUCAGUAGGGAAGAAGCCGCUUGCGGUGACGGUACCUGCAGAAGAAGCGCCGGCUAACUACGUGCCAGCAGCCGCGGUAAUACGUAGGGCGCAAGCGUUGUCCGGAAUUAUUGGGCGUAAAGAGCUCGUAGGCGGUUUGUCGCGUCUGCUGUGAAAACGCGAGGCUCAACCUCGCGCCUGCAGUGGGUACGGGCAGACUAGAGUGUGGUAGGGGAGACUGGAAUUCCUGGUGUAGCGGUGGAAUGCGCAGAUAUCAGGAGGAACACCGAUGGCGAAGGCAGGUCUCUGGGCCACUACUGACGCUGAGGAGCGAAAGCAUGGGGAGCGAACAGGAUUAGAUACCCUGGUAGUCCAUGCCGUAAACGUUGGGCACUAGGUGUGGGACCCAUUCCACGGGUUCCGUGCCGCAGCUAACGCAUUAAGUGCCCCGC
rnacentral:rRNA from 1 species